AUGCAAGUCGUGCGAGAAAGUAUCUUCGGAUAUGAGUAUAGCGGCGGACGGGUGAGUAACGCGUAGGAAUCUACCUAGUAGAAGGGGAUAGCCCGAGGAAACUCGGAUUAAUACCGUAUACCUCCUCAGGGAGAAAGAGGGCCUCUCUUGAUGCUCUCGCUAUUAGAUGAGCCUGCGUAAGAUUAGCUUGUUGGUGGGGUAAUGGCUCACCAAGGCUACGAUCUUUAGCUGGUCUGAGAGGACGAUCAGCCACAUUGGGACUGAGACACGGCCCAGACUCCUACGGGAGGCAGCAGUGGGGAAUAUUGGACAAUGGGCGCAAGCCUGAUCCAGCCAUACCGCGUGUGUGAAGAAGGCCUUAGGGUUGUAAAGCACUUUAAGCAGGGAGAAAAAGCUAUAAGUUAAUACCUUAUAGCCCUGAUGUUACCUGCAGAAUAAGCACCGGCUAAUUCCGUGCCAGCAGCCGCGGUAAUACGGAAGGUGCAAGCGUUAAUCGGAAUUACUGGGCGUAAAGCGCGCGUAGGUGGUUUGUUAAGUUGGAUGUGAAAGCCCUGGGCUCAACCUAGGAACUGCAUCCAAAACUGACUAACUUGAGUACGAUAGAGGGAGGUAGAAUUCAUAGUGUAGCGGUGGAAUGCGUAGAUAUUAUGAAGAAUACCAGUGGCGAAGGCGACCUCCUGGAUCUGUACUGACACUGAGGUGCGAAAGCGUGGGUAGCGAACAGGAUUAGAUACCCUGGUAGUCCACGCCGUAAACGAUGACAACUAGCUGUUGGGAGACAAAGUCUUUCAGUGGCGCAGCUAACGUUUUAAGUUGUCCGCCUGGGGAGUACGGCCGCAAGGCUAAAACUCAAAUGAAUUGACGGGGACCCGCACAAGCGGUGGAGCAUGUGGUUU
rnacentral:rRNA from 1 species